CCCCCCAUAGAUCCGCCUCUGAGCUAGUCUAAUGGCCUACUGACUCCUGUUAUUUAUGUUCAUAUAUUAAUAGGUAGCUCUUCUUGUGCUCUGAGUAAAAGGUCUCCUAGUAGUAGGAUAGCAAGACGCAAAAAUCCAUAUAAUAGUUCCUGUAAGCCUUCUUGUACUAGUAGUGGGAGAGUAAGAAGAAGUUGUAGAACUAUUGAUACUCCUAGUGCAUGUGACUCAUCACCUCUUAAUAGUAAACCUGGUUAUACAAGAGGUGGUAAAACUACAAAUGCGAGUAAGAAUAGUAAUACUAAUUGUAAACUUGUUAAUUAUUAUAUCAUUUACAGGUAAUUCAUCUGUUAUAAGUAGAUGUAGUUCUCUUUCUUCUUUGUCGGAUACUGAUAAUGUAGAUGAUGAAAAAGGUUAUUGCUUUUGUGGUGGGAAAGACGAAGGUCAAAUGGUUUAUUGUGAAAAUAAAAAUUGCAGAAAUGGCCAAUGGUUUCACUUUAAGUGUGUUAAGAUGAAAACAGCACCAAGAGGAUUGUGGUUUUGCUCUAAUACCUGUAAUGAGGAAUUUCAGUGUCAUUAAUGAUUAAUGAACAAUGAUAAUAAACUUUUAUUAACAAUGAUAAUAAAUUAUAGGCGUGGCCGAUCAAACAGCACUCCAAUCAUGCCUCUAUGAUGCUUCCUACUUUCUCUGUAGCAGUAAGAAUUCUUGCAACAACUGCACUAGUUUGUAGACCAAGGACCAGUGCUUCAAUGGGUGCAGUUAGCAUUUGAUUGAUGCUUUCUCUGCGUAGAAAUUUUCCACCUACGAAAAUGCAGGAUAUCGUCCGACCAUUCGUAAUGUCGGUCAAUGGUCUUCUAAAAAUUGCCGUGGUGCUAUCUAAUCUUUGAUCAUCCAGCUGAACACCUGCAUUACUAGCUCUGCAGUGUCAAUAAUAGCGUCCGAUAAUACCUGGUUGCCAGAAAUUG